UAAGCGACUAAAUAAUAGUUUCGACCUAUUACCAGAAGGUAAGCCUUCCACUUA
rnacentral:tRNA from 1 species